CAGGAGUCACAAUAAACACACUAAAUAAAGUCAUGAUUGUGUAACUCUAGUGUAUAUGAGUGUGUUGUCAGCACAAGCUGUUGUAAAUCCUGCCCACUUCUUUGCAUUGUCAGCACAUGCUUCAGUGCUCUGAGAGUGUUUAUAGUGCUGUGAGUUUAACACUUCAUGACUGAGAGCAGAACACACACACUCUUCAUCAUCACACAAGACUAAACUACAACUAUGAACAACAUCUGCAUCUUCAUCUGGACCAUUGCACUGUUUGCUCAAGAGUGUAGAGGACAGAUCACUGUAACUCAGAGUCCAUCAAUAUCAGCAGUUCAACCAGGAGAACAAGUCAGAAUAAACUGUAAAACCAGCAGUAGAGUGUAUGUGUAUGGUGGUUAUCAUUACUUAGCCUGGUACUCACAGAAACCCGGAGAAGCUCCUAAACUCCUGAUAUAUGAUGCAACAAGACUUUAUACUGGAACUCCAUCUAGAUUCAGUGGCAGUGGAUCUGGCAGUGAUUUUACUCUGAGCAUCAGUGGAGUCCAGACUGAAGAUACAGGAGAUUAUUACUGUCAGAGUGCACACAGUGGUAAUGUGUACACAUUCGGUGGAGGAACUAAACUGGUGAUCAGAUCUGGUCCCACAGUGAAGCCCUCAGUGUCUCUGCUGCCGCCCUCUUCUCUGCAGAUCUCUGGAGACUCAGCCGCACUGCUCUGCCUGCUCAGCUCUUACUCUCCACAGGGGGCGCUGGUGAGCUGGACACUGGACGGGUCAGAGGUCACCGAGGGGUUCUGACCAGCGCAGAGAGCCAGCAGGACGGCCGCUACAGCCGCAGUAGCGUCCUGACCCUCAGCAAAGCACGCUGGGAAGAGGGAGAGCUGUACGUCUGCAGAGUAACACAUGAUGGAGCUCCUCAUGAGGUCUCGUUCCACAAGAGCUCUGAGUGCUGAUGUUUCUCUCCUGAAGAUGAGCCGUAUCUGAGUGUCCUGUGUCAGGCAGGAUUCACAUGAGUCUAGUGCUGCAGCUGGAGUGCUUUACAACUCAAUACUCAAACAGUGUGUGUGUGUGUGUGUGUGUUUGCUGCAACAUUCAAUAAAGCUUCUCAACAAGUUCA